AGCCCCAGCCCCGAGCCAGCUGCCUGCACACCAGCCCCAGAAUUGCCUACAGAGCAACACAGAGUUUCUUUGGAACAAGGAGCAACAUUUAAUAUCCGUGAGAAGACAGCUGAUGGAAAAUGCAUGGUUAGCGGUCUUGAGGAACAGAAUCACAUAUAAAUAAUGAAAGACGUGCCAUGGUCCGGAUACUUGUGUCCCACUUAAUUAAGCGCUUUGGAGAGAAUCCAUCUUCAGGUGCAAAGGCUAUGCUGGCAUCAUCAAUUGUGGAUCAGUUUCCAUGCCUGAGGGACUGUCAAGGCACAGGCUAUGACGCAUGGUUCACCCCAGGGAGAGGGCAUAAACCCGCAACAGGCUUUCUGGAAGAGCAUCUCCGCAGUGUCUGAAAAAGGCUCCACUCUGGCAGACGAGUAAAUCUAACAUCCCAAGUGCCACAAGACACCCGAGUCAUUUUGCCAGAACCAACUAGAACUCCAGAGCGGGCCAUCCAAUUGACGGAGUGACUGAAAAAUAACAUCUGGCCACAGUCCCAGGUUGGCCAACACAUGUUGGAGACUGCCAUCCAUAGGGCACAGUGGAUCCGAGCAAAUGGGACUACAUCAAUGCUAGACAUUAUCAGAGUUUCCACGCUUAAUGGACACUCACAGGCAUGGUGAGCUAGAAUCUUACAAAAUUACUUGCGUGUUGUGGUGCUGGGAUUGUUGUUCGAUGUCAACUUUGUGCUAAAGUUUGGGAGUUCAUCUAGACUACCGUCUUUCAGAUACCAGGACAUGAAUCAAACACUGUCAAAUUAAUGAGUGCUCAGAUUGCUAGUUGAUAGUUCAAUGUAUGAAGUUUGAGAAAUUGUGACUAUUUUGUCCGUUUAAUGAUGUAAUAAGUGAAUGCACACAUCAUAUGUUUUAAGUCAGAAAUUGUAAAAUUACUUUUGUAUUCUUUUAUACAACUUUUAAUGUUAACUGAAAUAAAUUGAAAUGUUUAAUUUUGUCUUAAGUGAUAUAUUUGGCUUGUAGCAAUAAAACCAAAAUGCUG